CUAAGACCUAGGGUGACAGGACGGAUAAGCCCAUCUAUAUGCUGCUCACGAGAGACUCUGUUCAAACCUAAAGACAUAUAUUUAGACUGAAAAUGAAGGGAUGGAAAGAUAUUCCAUGCAUGUGGAAACAAGGAAAAAAAAAGCUGGGGUAGCAAUACUUACAUCAGAGAAAAUAGAAUUUAAAACAAAGUAACAAGAGAUAAACAAAGGCACUACAUAGAGAUAAAGGGAUAAAUCCAACAGGAGGAUAUAACAAUUAUAAAUAUCUAGACAUCCAACAUUGGGUUAUCUAAAUAUAUAAAGCAAAGAUUAACAGACAUAAAGGGAGAAAUUGACAGUAAUUUAGUAAUUACUAAACAUCCUACCAACAUCAAUGGAUAAAUCAUCCAGGCAGAAAAUCAAUAAGAAAAGAGUAUCUUUGAGUGACACAUCAGACCAGCUGGAUUUAAUAGAUACACACAAAGCAACCCAUCCCAAAACAACAGAAUACACAUUCUUUUUAAGUACACAUUAAACAUUCUUAAGAGUAGAUCUCAUGCUAGUCAAAAAUCAAGUCUCAAUAAAUUUAUGACUGAAAUCCUUUUAAGUAUCUUUUCCAGCCAAAAUAGUAUGAAACUAGAAAUCAAUUACAAAAUUAAAAAAAAAAAAAACCACCCAAACGGGAAAAUACAAAAACACAUGGAGGCUAAACAACAUGCUACCAAAAAAUCAAUGGGUCAACAAUGAAAUCAAAGAGGAAAUUAAAGGAAAAAACAACAACAACAGAAGACAAAUUAAAAUGAAAAUACAAUAGUCCAAAAAUCUUUGACACAGCAAAAGUAAUUCUGGGAAAUUUAUGGUGAUAGAGUCCUACCUCAAAAAAUAAGAAAAAUCUCAAAAACUAUAACCUUUCACCUAAAGGAAUUGGAAAAUGAAGAACAAACAAAGGCCAAAGUUAGUAAAAGAAAGAAAAUAAAGAUCAUAGUGGAAAUAAGUGAAAUGGAGACUGAAGAAACAAUAGGAAAAAAAAAAAUCAAACCCAGAGUUGGUUCUUUGAAAAGAUAAACAAAACCUUUAACCAGAUUCAUUAAGAAAAAAGAGAGAAUCCAAAAAUGGAUAAAUCAAAAAUGGAAGUGGAGAAAUAACAACCAACACCACAGAAAUACAAAGGGAUUUUUAAAGAACAUUAUGAAAAAUGAUGUACCAACAAAUUGGGUGAACUACAAGAAAUGGGUAAGUUCCUAGAAACACAAAAUCUUCCAAACCUGAAUGAGGAAAAAAAAAACCCAGAAAAUCCAAACAGACCAUUACUAAUUACAUAGUAUCAGUAAUUUAAAAACGUCUAACAAAACUGUAAAAUUAGAUGGAUUUACAGGUAUAUUCUAUGAAACAUUUAAAGAAGAGUUGAUUUCUCUUCUCAAAUUAUUGCAAAAAGAAAAAAAAAAGAAGAGAAAGGGAAGCUUCCACAUACAUUCUAUGAGAUCAGCAUUACUUUGAUACUAAAACCAGAGGAUGAAACCAUAAAAAAGAAAACUAUAGACCAAUAUCCCUGAGAAACAUAAAUACAAAAAUCCUCAACAAAGUAUUAGCAAACUACACUCCAUGAUACAUUAAAAGGAUCAUUUAUAAGGAUGAAAUGGGAUUUAUUCCAGAGAUGCAAGGAUGGUUCAAUGUUUGCAAAUCAAUCAAUGUGAUAUGACACAUUAACAAAAUAAAAGAUAAAAGUCAUAUCAAUAGAUGCAGAAAGAGCAUUUGACAAAAUUCAGUAUGCAAUUUAUGAUGGAAAAACUAGCAAAGUCAGUUUAGAGAGAACAUACCUUAAUGUAAUAAAGGCCAUAUAUGACAAAACCACAGCUAACAUCAUACUCAAUAGUAAAUCAGGGUUUUUUGUUUUUGUUUUUCUGUUUUUGCUAAGAUCAGGAAGAAGACAAGGAUAUCCACUCUCAGCAGUUUUAUUCAACAUAGCACUGAAAGUACUAGCUGUAGCAAGCAGAUAAGAAAUAAAAGACAUCCAAACUGAUACCUUUCCAGUGGAGCUCACAAAAAACCAAAAAACAAAAUACAACGGCCUCCAACAUACUAAACAGCUGUCUCCGAGAUCAGAAAGCAUCAGAAAAGACCCUAAAGAGUUGUGUAAUCCCAAAGGAAGAUCUUGUUUAAAUGGAGAAGUGCUUGCAGCAGAAACCUUGGAAAUUUCAGGGAGUGGAAUUUUAUUGUCAGAACUUUCAAUGAAAGUGCAGCCACAGAUCCUGGGAGUGUUAAAUAAAAAUUACCAACAAGC